GGGGCCGGAGUGGGCGGGGGCGAUGGCCAGGUCCCGCCCACAUCUUCCCCUUUAGUCCCCCUUCCCGAGACCAGAGCAGAAAAGAAAGAGGGAGGAAGAACGCUGCUGAGGAGCUGUGUGUUGGAAACCAAAAACUAUAGAUCGCAUUUAACAACCGACUCAGCGGUGCCCAGCCUUGGGAGGAGGACUAGAAGGCGUACCCAAGAGAAAGCUCCCACGCGCCCACUACACCUCCUCCAGUGAUAGGGAUUUUCUUCCGACAGCGCUGGAUGCAAAUUAAAUACUUCCCCUAGCAGAAGAUUUAUCUCGGGGCACAGAGAUGAACAAAUCUUCCGGCCGGGUGUGCAAAUCGCAAGUUCGAUUUUCGUGGCGUCCCUUGGGCGACCCGCACAAGGAGCGCACUCAGCCACCUGCUGCCUCGGGCUCCGGCCAUCUUUUCGCCCUGAGACUCUUGCCCGCGCCCUUUAGGCCCUGCCAUCACUGUUAGUGUCAUUCACCUCGCGGCCAACAGAACUCCCAUCUGCAGGGGUGGAAGUACGGAAGAGACUCCCGACCUCUGGUGCACCGCCCUUGGGAGCUAUCAGGCUCUGGCUCCUGGCACAUGAUCCUGCAAGUCGGGGGUUGCUACCCUUGAUCCACAACACGUGGUGACACCUCAUCUGAGACAGCACAUACCCAUGACAUCGAUGUCACCUCACCAGGAGCCAGGAACACGCUGCUCCUGGGCCUCUACGUCACGUGAAGCGGGACAGUUUACGCGCACUUUCUCGUACCGCGUGGUGUGGCGCACACUGUACCCAGAUGGAUCUAUAGCCCUCUCUGUAGCCCAUGGGAUCAGUCUCACCGUCUGUUUCCUCCCUCAAAUGAAUAAAUGAGAUAAGGAGUGUGGUAGUUGUUGGGCAAACUAUAAGAAGCUGUCUUGGUGGGGUUGAGCCCAUAAAGCUUCCUUCCUCACCUCUCACUGCUCCUUGGAUCCUUGCUCUUUUCCCUCGGCCAUUAAACAAGCUUAGCUCCUAAAAACAAAACUAUGGCGCCCAACCUCCGCUCCAAGUGCCCUCUCCAGUUAGCCUCCAAGGGCUCCACUCCCUCUCAUGACCUCUUAAACAGUGGUCUCUCUGCUGUCUCCACUUCCUCAUUUCUCCGCACUGGGCAUUCCAGCUUCCCCUCUUCUCCCCAACACACACCCUUCCUCAUCCUGCUUGGGUAAGAGAACCCCUGAGUUUCAUUCUCCCAAAUCUUAGUAGGUAUUCUGCAGGCAUUCUCUUUCUGGGUCUCUCUGCUACAUUUGACAAUUCAGAUGACCCCCACCUUCCGGAAUCUCAACAUUCUCUUGGUUUGCGGAAGAGUAUACUCUUCCAGUUCUCACAUCUCAGUAAAUAAGGCCUCUGCCUCCUUGGGCGGCAUCCUUAAGUGCCACUAAUUGUGAGUCUCCACCUUAUAUGCAAGACUCCAAACCCACAGUUCUUCUCAUUCUACUCUUAGGAGAUCACCUCCAAAUUCACGUUGCAAUUACCCAAUCAGCAAUUGCAGCCCAGACCUCUUCCACAAGAGUUAGACCCAAAUAUCCAACUGCCUGCCAGGAAGCUCUAACUAGAUAUCAUAGGGGUGCCUCAAACUCAGCUUGUCCAAAACUAAACUUGCCCUCUGCC